CCUACGGGAGGCAGCAGUGGGGAAUAUUGCACAAUGGGGGAAACCCUGAUGCAGCGACGCCGCGUGAGUGAAGAAGUAAUUCGUUAUGUAAAGCUCUAUCAGCAGGGAAGAAAAUGACGGUACCUGAGUAAGAAGCACCGGCUAACUACGUGCCAGCAGCCGCGGUAAUACGUAGGGGGCCAGCGUUAUCCGGAUUUACUGGGGGUAAAGGGAGCGUAGACGGGCAUGAAAGUCUGGAGUGAAAGGCGGGGGUUCAACCCUCGGAAUGCCCUUGAAACUGUACGGCUGGAGUGCAGGAGAGGUAAGUGGAAUUCGUAGUGUAGCGGUGAAAUGCGUAGAUAUUAGGAGGAACACCAGUGGCGAAGGCGGCUUACUGGACUGUAACUGACGCUGAGGCUCGAAAGCGUGGGGAGCAAACAGGAUUAGAUACCCCAGUAGUC
rnacentral:rRNA from 1 species